AAAUUCUUGUUAAAUAGAAGCUUCAAACAAAGACUCCUGGAGGAUAAUGGGACCCACAGAGAAUGCAGGUUAGACACAAUGAGGACAGAAAAGAAAUGACAGGAUGGGUAGUCGGUUAGAGACUACAUGUUUAAGUUAUUGCCCCCCCCCCCAAAGGGUUCAUCAAAUUAAGACUUCUGAGAUCCACUAGCCUAGGAGUUACAGAGAUGGGAUGGCCAGGAGUAAAAUGAUGGCCUUGCCUCUGAUGGCUGGGCAUAGUGGUGCAUGCCUUUAAUUCCAGUGACUGGUGACUGGGGAGGCUGAGGCUGGAGGAUCACAAGUUCAAGGACAGCCUGGGCAGAGUAGUGGGACCCUAACUCAAAAAAGGGCUGUGGAUGUUGCUCAAUGGUACAAUGCUCCUGGGUUCAAUCCUCAGUACCCUGCCUCCCCCAUAUACACACACGAAGAAGACUUUUUAAAAUUAUAUUAUUGUAUUUUAAUACCUUUUUUUAUUUUUAUGUGGUGCUGUGGAUCCAACCCAGUACUCUACCACUGAGGUACAACCACAGCCCCCAAAAGAUUGUUUUUUACCUUGAAGGAUGAGGCAUGGAUCCAGACUUAGUAGGGAAAAGAGUUUCAGGAAAGGACUCAAAGCCUUCUCUGUCCUGUUUGGAAUGUUGCCAUUGUAUUCAGAGGAAACUUAUGUGAAAUCCAUUUUGACCUGUCAAUAAAUACUUUUAAAAGUAUUACUACUGAAUGAUUCAGGGGGGUAUAGUAAAAUAAAGGCUUUCACUUAAUUCAUAGGAGGGUAAAUGAGUAUAUUCUUUUUUUAAGUGAAAUAGAGUAUUCCAGUCACUCUAACUGUAUGCAAAUAAAUAUUUAGUUUAAGCAAUAGUCCCUUGUGAGUCUAAUUAGUAAGCCCAGUUUUAGAGUACACUGACAGAUAAAUGGAGAAGCAGACCUUCUGAGACAGGAACUAUGUAGCCGCAUGGUCCUUUUCUUUCUCUGUUUUGGUUGUAAUUGCAAGUAGUCUCAUCCUUGAUUAUCCAUCUUAUACACAUGCAUUAUUUCACACCAAGGGAGAAUUUCCAGAUAUUUUGGAAACCCCAAAUAUUUUUUUCUUGUUUGUCCUGGUUUUGAUCUAUGCGGAUACUAAUAAAACCCUUAGAACCAUCCACUCUAUUUCAUGCCAAUCUCAUGUAAUCUUUCCACUUUCCUGGGAGUGCCCCAAGGAUGGUCAAGAGCCCUUUCGGGCAGAACAAGUACUGAUUAACAAGCUGCAGAGCUUGCCAUGAAGUGACUUAUUUUGUUUUUUCUUCUGGACACUAGGAAAGAGAUCUUCCUGUAAAGGCUGCUUUUGCAACCUUGUGAACUUUCCUCCUAGGUAAGUCAGGAAAGUUAUGGUUCGUGGCUUUAGUGAAGAACCGGUCCUUUCUAAUAAAGAAUCCAUUUGUUUCUUGAUUUUCAUCCUUCGUGGUGGGCACUUAGAGCUGCCACUUUGGAGAGGAGCUUCAUUCAUCCUGUGUACCGUAAAGGCCUUAGGUGAGUAUUUCAUUGUAAGAUGGGGACAAUACCUAUCUUUCAGAGUUGUUGAGGAAGGAAAAGAGAACUUACCAGAAGGACUAUAACAGUGUGUAGCACAUAGCAGACACAGUAAAUCUAUAUUUACUCAUUCCAUUCUAGAUAUUGCACAGUUGUUUGCAAUCAUCUGCAUUGAAAUCCUGAUCAAACUAUCAGUUAAUCACACAAGGCAGAGUGUUUCCUGGUCACCAUUUGAAUAUCCACAAUGCCUGGCCUUCUUUAAGUGAAGAAAAAAGAGAAUUUAAUUUCAAAGUUUGGCCCUCAUCUCAUAUUUGCUUUUUAUUUAUGAAAAUAUAGUGCUUGUCCAUGUAAAUAUCUCUGAAAGAAUGCCAGGAACCUGAUAACCUUAGUUCCCUGGAGAACUCUGGUACUCAGAAACAGGAAAAUAUUUCUCACCUUGAAUCCUUUUGUCCUUUUAAAAAAUUUACCAUAGGCAUGUAUUACCUCAAAAAAGUGUUUAAUGUCAGAAAAUCUCCCCAAGUUAAACCAAACUAAAAAUAUCUUGUUAGACACAUUUGUAAAAAUGUAUUAUGUAAAGGUGAAAUAUACUUUAUAAAAAUUGAAAAAAAUGAUCAAACAGACUAAGAAAUACACAUGAAAACAAUGACAUCUUUGUAAUUUCAAUUGCAGAGAGGUAAAGAAUAGUAUCCCAGGGCAAGGGAGGGAGAAGGGGAGGUUCACCCAAUUGGACAGGGCAGAGUGCCAGGAAAGGAGGAGGAAAGGGAAUGGGAAAGACAAUAGAAUGAAUGGGACAUAACUUUCCUGUGUUCACAUAUGAAUACAUGACCAGUGUAACUCCACAUCAUGUACAAGAUGGAAUAAGUUACUUACUUACACAAAAAUGGAAACUUAUACUCCUUGUAUAUACAAUAUGUCAAAAUACAUUCUACUGUCAUGUAUAACUAAAAAAAAUCAAUUUAAAAAAUUUUAAUACAGUGCAAAAAAUAAAAAAGAAUAGUUUCCCAUGUUGGCAGGGGUGUGGACUGUUUGUCUUGGUGUAGCAAGUGUAGAGUCUUCUUGCUCUUGGUAUGACAACACAUUAGUAAAAACCUUUCUGGCAGGCAUUCUGUGAUUUGUUUCCAAAGUUAAAAUGUGGUUAAUUAAAACCAUUUUAACCAACAUUCUAGGAAUUUUUCCUACAGAAGUACAGAUGGUCCCCAACUUACUAUGGUUCAGCUUAAUGAUUUUCCAGCUUUACAAUGAUGCAAAAGCAAUACACGUUCGGUGGAAACCACUCUUCAAAUCUUGAUCUUUUCCCAGGAUAGCAAUAUGUGGUACAAUACUCUCAAGAUGGUGGGAGGGACUAGGGAAGAAUAGAAGUUCAUUGGAUUAGACAAAGGGGAAUGAAGGGAAGGAAGGAUGGGAAUAGGAAAAAGAAUGAAUUGGACAUAAUUUUCCUAUGUUCAUAUAUGAAUGCAAGACCAGUGAAAUUCUACAUCAUGUACAACCACAAGAAUGGGAGCUCAAUUAGAAUAAGUUAUAUUCCAUGUAUGUAUAAUAUGUCAAGAUGCACUCUACUGUCACGUAUAUCUAAAAAGAACAAAUUUUAAAAGUUGAGGAAAAAAAGAUGUUAGGCAAUGAAAGCUGUCACAAGCCACAGCGCCCAGUCAGUCAUGUGAUCAGGAGAAUUAGCAACCAAUGUGCUACAAGUAUUCAAUAUUGCCAGCAUUUUUGUGGACAUAGGUAUUCAAUAAAUUACAUGAGAUAGUCAAUAUUAUAAAUAGGUUUUGUGUUAGAAGAUCUUACCAAACUAUGGACUAAUGUAACUGUUCUGAGCAUAUUUAAGGUAGGCUAGGCUAAACUACGAUGUUCAGUGGAUAAGAAGUGUUAAAUGCAGUUUUGACUUAAUAUUUUCAACUUAUGGGGCUGGGGAUAUAGCUCAGUUAGUAGAGUGCUUGCCUAGCAUACACAAGGCCCUGGGUUCUAAUCCCCAGCACCAUAUUAAAAAAAUAUAUAUCUGAACAGAUCUCUCUCUCUCUCUCUCUCUCUCUCUCUCUCUCUCUCUCUCUCUCUCUCUCCCCCUCUCCCCCCCCUCUCCCUCCUCCCCUUGCUUUCCCUCUCUCCUUCAUGCAAUGCCUCAGUCUCUUUCCUCCACCACCACAUUCUUCCACCAUGAUGUUCUGCCUCACCUUGAGCCCUGAGGAAUGGAGCCAGCCUUCUAUGGACUGAGACCUCUGAAACCAUGAGCCCUCAACUUAUGGUGGAUUUUUUUCAGGACAUAAUCCCAUUGUGAGUUGAAAACAUCUGUAAUCAAAAAGUGUACAGGUGGGGCUGGGGUUGUGGGUCAGUGGUAGAGCACUUGCCUAGCAUGUGUGAGGCACUGGGUUCAAUCCUCAGCACCACAUAAAAAUAAGUAAAUAAAAGUAAUUGUGUCCAUCUACAACAACAACAAAAAAAAAGUGUUCAGGUGUGUGUACAUGUUUGUGAACUGCAGUAUUGUUUACCACCUGAAUGUCCAGGUGUUGGUGGGGACUGGAUUGCCAGUCCUUGCUGUCCUCCCUCCCCAGCUAUAGGUCAUCUUACUGACCACUCUUUCCAAAUAGAGCAAGG
rnacentral:lncRNA from 1 species